rnacentral:misc_RNA from 1 species
GAUGAAGAACGCAGCGAAAUGCGAUAAGUAGUGUGUAUUGCAGAAUUCAGUGAAUCAUCGAAUCUUUGAACGCACAUUGCGCCCCUUGGUAUCCCGAGGGGCAUGCCUGUUCGAGCGUCAUUUCACCACUCAAGCCUGGCUUGGUGUUGGGCGACGUCCCCUUUGGGGACGCGCCUCGAAACGCUCGGCGGCGUGGCACCGGCUUUAAGCGUAGCAGAAUCUUUCGCUUUGGAAGUCGGGGCCCCGUCUGCCGGAAGACCUACUCGCAAGGUUGACCUCGGAUCAGGCAGGGAUACCCGCUGAACUUAAGCAUAUCAAUAAGCGGAGGA